ACUCACGGGACAUCAGGACACCUAAUGCAAGCAGAAGCUUGACAAGCACUUGCACAGAGGGGUUUGCUCUCUUUUGCUAUUUUUGGAAUCCAGCCAUCAUGUGAAGAAGUCUAGACUGGCUUACUAGAUCCUGGAGACACAUAGCCUGGUCACCCUUGUGGAUCCCUCCCAGGUUCCAGGCACAUAAGUGAUACCAUCUGGGACCACCAGGCCUCAGACAGUCCUCACCUGACUGUAGCCACAUACACAAGUUCAGGUGAACUCAACAGAAGAACUUCCAAGCUAAGCCCAACCCAAACUGCCAGCCUCCAGGAUGGGUGACCUGCAGAAUACUCAUGGAGGAGGUCUGCUUUGAGUUGUGGCUUGGAGAGAUGAAGAAAAUAAUAGAGCAAACAUUGACAUGGAACCUACUAUGUGCAGAUAUGGGGCCUUGCUGUAUUGCCCAGGCUGGUCUUGAACACCUGGGCUCAAGUGAUCCUCCUGCCUCAGGCUCCCAAAGUGCUGGGAUUACAGAUUCAUUGCUAUACUGACCUCUCAUUGACUGAAACUUUACAUCAAGGCUCAGGGACUGUAAACCCACCGCAGCUUGGAAUAUGGAAUAUGGAUGUUGAGAUACACACUUCAGUUCCUGAACUCAGUAAUGAAAUCGCCCCCAGAGUUCUCAUGCCAGCAUUCAGCUAGCUGCAACUUUCUCCUGCUUGCCUUCUAAGGAGAUUAAGAACGGGCAUUUUAUUUUGUUUCCGUUUUAGUUUAUUUGAAGGUUUUAUGAUGUCUUGGUUGAGUGGCUCGUGGGACUUGCAAAUAAACAUGCUGCCUUUAAAAA
rnacentral:lncRNA from 10 species